rnacentral:rRNA from 1 species
GACGAACGCUGGCGGCGUGCUUAACACAUGCAAGUCGAACGGAAAGGCCCUGCUUUUGUGGGGUGCUCGAGUGGCGAACGGGUGAGUAACACGUGAGUAACCUGCCCUUGACUUUGGGAUAACUUUAGGAAACUGGGGCUAAUACCGGAUAGGGGCUCCUGCUGAAUGGUGGGGGUUGGAAAGUUUCGGUGGUUGGGGCUUGGCUCGCGGCUUAUCGGCUUGUUGGUGGGGUAGGGGCUUACCAAGGCUUUGACGGGUGGCCGGCCUGAGAGGGUGACCGGCCACACUGGGACGGGGAUACGGCCCGGACUCCUACGGGAGGCAGCGGUGGGGAGUAGUGCACAAGGGGCGGAAGCCUGAUGCAGCAACGCCGCGUGCGGGAUGACGGCCUUCGGGUUGUAAUCCGCUUCCGCCUGUGACGAAGAGUUAGUGACGGUAAUGGGUAAAGAAGCACCGGCUAACUACGUG